rnacentral:rRNA from 1 species
GGAAUCUUCCACAAUGGACGAAAGUCUGAUGGAGCAACGCCGCGUGAGUGAAGAAGGGUUUCGGCUCGUAAAACUCUGUUGUUAAAGAAGAACAUAUCUGAGAGUAACUGUUCAGGUAUUGACGGUAUUUAACCAGAAAGCCACGGCUAACUACGUGCCAU